rnacentral:misc_RNA from 1 species
CGGCAGAAAUGCUAAUGCUUCUCCAAAAUCUACUCAUUCAUAUAUAGUACAAUUUCAGAUAUCACACCAUCAUCAUAAAACAAAAUCUGAAAACUGUCCAUGAAAUUUGCUCAAUACCCUUAACUCCCUUUAGACUCCACAAUUGCUUUCAUCUAUUUCAGUUCCCAAUACUGCUUUGUACAAGUUACCAACUCAACAUCUAAAAAAUGAGGGUAAACGCAGAAACAAAAAUGAAAGAGGACUCCAAACAUGUAUACAUGAAUAUAUUACAAGAAAACUUAUGCUAUAGUUAUGAUAACCUUCAAAUUCAAUUAACAUGAAUUAUGCAAAGAUUGGCUGCAACACAUUAUACAUAAAGUGGAAUACCAUACCGAUCAACAGAUGAAGGCUGCAAUGCACGGAUUUUAACAUCAUAUUUUCGAAGUUUGGAUUCAUUGACAGAGGAUGAAUCUGAACCAUCUGAUACUAGUGGAUAAGCUGAAGUUUCAUCAUCAUAGGCAACUCCAAUAUUAUUGCCACAUUUACGGCAAAGAAGUUUGGUUCUCCUACGGAACAAUCCCCAUGAGUUCUUUGAAAAGUAGGGGAUACAUUGGAAUUCUUCAGCCUGAGUAAA